rnacentral:pre_miRNA from 1 species
CUUGUACUCCCUCCGUCCGAAAAUACUUGUCAUUGAAAUGGAUGUAUCUAGAUGUAUUUUAGUUCUAGACACAUCCAUUUUGAUGACAAGUAAUUCCGGACGGCGGGAGUANNNN